UACAGAGGCCUCAAGCGUUAUCCGGAAUCAUUGGGCGUAAAGCGUACCGAUAGGCGGUUAUACAAGUCAGAAGUGAAAUCUCCGAGCUCAACUCGGAAUCUGUCUUUUGAAACUGUAUGACUAGAGGGGCAAAGAGGAAGCUGGAACGAACGGUGUAGUAGUGAAAUGCGUUGAUAUCGUUCGGAACACCAAUAGCGAAGGCGGGCUUCUGGGUGCCACCUGACGCUGCUAGGACGAAAGCGUGGGGAGCGAAUGGG
rnacentral:rRNA from 1 species